rnacentral:rRNA from 1 species
UACGGAGGAUGCAAGCGUUAUCCGGAUUUAUUGGGUUUAAAGGGUGCGCAGGCGGGACGUGAGUCAGUGGUGAAAGACUGCCGCUUAACGGUAGUCUUGCCAAUGAUACUGCGUUUCUUGAGUAUGGUUAAGGUAGGCGGAAUGUGCAGUGUAGCGGCGAAAUGCAUAGAUAUUGCACAGAAGGCCGAUUGCGGAGGCAGCUUACUGAGCCAUAACUGACGCUGAGGCACGAAAGCGUGGGGAUCAAACAGGA